UAUGCAUUCAGCAGACUUCAUCCGUCAGGUCUACAUUUUGAACAUAUUUCAUCCAAAAAUCAUUGUACGUGCGAGCCUCUUCUGAGGAACUGCCCUCGCCGAUCCAUUGCUGGUAUUUAACGACAAAAGUGGCCGGAGCAGCCAUGUUUGGAUUCAGGCCCAUUCCACUUACGGUAGAUCUCGAAUAAUGGCCAUCAUGACUUCAGAAGAGUUUAUCCAAUCAGGAGGUUUUGGAAAAUACCAAAUAAGGUUAUUUUUCAUCAUGGCCUAUGCCAUGUUCUCAUGCUCCCUUACAUUCAUGGUAAUGACUUUCAACACAGCCGAGCCUCCUUGGAGAUGCACUACUAACGCUACGUCCUGUAAACUGAACGGAACCUUUAAACCAGGUGACGACAAAUAUGAAUAUCGAUGCGAUAUUCCACGCAGUAACUGGGAAUUUGUUGUGGAAGGAAACUAUGAUUCUA